rnacentral:lncRNA from 1 species
AUGGCCACCUUCCCCCAGUGCAGGAGUGAAUUUGGCCCUCGAGCAGGGAGAAGGGAGGGGGCUGAGCCAGUCCCCCAGCCUCCCGCAGCCCCUGGGGGAGAUGAGAUGAGCGGGAAGCGGCUGCUGCGGAGGGAGGCAGCUCUCCAGCAAGCUGCAGCCGUGGCUCCGCAAGGCACACACUGUUCCAGCCUCCUCCCGCUGCGCCGGGUGCUCCGGCAAGACAGCUUGUCCCCAUCACUGCUGCGCCCCCCUUCCCCAGGGGAAUCCCCCAGCCACCCAGCAUUGCCACAGCCGUGUGCCCACCCAGCACCCAGGGGUAACGUGGGGCGCCGGGCAGCCCUGGAGCACCAGAGAUCAGAGGGGGAUCCGGGGGCUGUUGGGAUGGGAACGUCAGCGCACCCCCAGGCAGCGGGAAGGGGACGAGAUGUCUGCUCCGGCCAUGCCCGCUGCCCAGCUGCGGCACGCAGCCAGCACAGGGGCCUCGGGAGUAACGGAUGUGACAGAGGAAAACACAAGAAAUGGCUUAUUUCCCGUUGGGCUGAGAAGGAAGUGGCACAUAGAGUGGCUGGGCUGGGAAAGGGACUUGGCGUCGGGAGGAAGAGAAGCCGUGGGCCAGGAGGUGCAGCAUUGCCCAGAGCCAGCAGUGGGGAGGCUCUGUGGACAAGUCACCCUUGGGCUCUCUGGGACCAGGGAGAAGACCAAGAUGGCCAGUUUUCGGGGCAGGGAGGCACAGCUGCCUGCAGUUUCUCCACAGGAGGCUGUCUUUCCCCACGGGCAGAACCGCCUUGCAAAGCGGGCACCGGGGAAGGCUGGCAGCCCCUCGCCCUGCUCAGCAGCACCUGCACCAGGAAUGCAGCCAGCCAAAGAGAUCUGGGGGUCCAGGCAGGGAGCAGCAGCCCAGACACAGUCACUACAAAUUUCUGCAAAGCUCAGAGGCAAUUGGAGGCCAAGCAGGGGUCAGACAGGCCCUGCAUUUGUUUUGGGAGAGAUGCUCAGGGAUGCAGCGCUGAUACCAAGGGGUGUUCGCAGCAGCUGGGGUGUCCUGGCCCAGCCCAAGCUCCCACUUUGGGGCGGUGGUACCGGGCAGUUUGCGCAUGCUGUGCUGCCAUCCCCGCUCUGGGAAGCAUCUCCCCACCUGCAAACACAAAGAGCCUGCUGCCGGCUUGA